UGGGGUUAGAAUGUUAGUCGUGCGCUUCCUAGCCUGAUGGAGGCGCGGCGCACAGCUCAGUAGCACGUGGCUAACCUACCCUUGGGACGGGGGUACCCCCGGGAAACUGGGGCUAAUCCUCGAUAGGUGAAGACUCCUGGAAUGGAUUUUCGCCUAAAGGGCGCUUGGAUCAUGCUUCUAAGCGUUGCCCAAGGAUGGGGCCGCGGCCGAUCAGGUUGUUGGUGAGGUAACGGCUCACCAAGCCUUUAACCGGUGCGGGCCGUGGGAGCGGGAGCCCGGAGAUGGGCACUGAGACAAGGGCCCAGGCCCUACGGGGCGCAGCAGUCGCGAAAACUUCGCAAUAAGCGAAAGCUUGACGGGGCUAUCCCGAGUGCCAUCCGCUGAGGAUGGCUUUUACCCAGUAUAGAUAGCUGGGGGAAUAAGGAGAGGGCAAGUCUGGUGUCAGCCGCCGCGGUAAUACCAGCUCUCCGAGUGGUGUGGAUGAUUAUUGGGCCUAAAGCAUCCGUAGCCGGCUGGGCAAGUCCCCUGUUAAAUCCAGCGACGAAUCGUUGGCCUGCGGGGGAUACUGCUCGGCUAGGGGGCGAGAGAGGCCGUCGGUAUUCCCGGGGUAGGGGUGAAAUCCUAUAAUCCCGGGAGGACCACCAGUGGCGAAGGCUGUCGGCUAGAACGGGCCCGACGGUGAGGGAUGAAAGCUGGGGGAGCGAACCGGAUUAGAUACCCGGGUAGUCCCAGCUGUAAACGAUGCAGGCUAGGUGUUAGGGCGGCCACGUGCCGCUCUAGUGCCGCAGGGAAAGCUGUUAAGCCUGCCGCCUGGGGAGUACGGCCGCAAGGCUGAAACUUAAAG
rnacentral:rRNA from 1 species